rnacentral:piRNA from 1 species
UCAGCCUCCAUAAGUGUGUGGGCCAGUUC